rnacentral:rRNA from 1 species
AGCGAACGCUGGCGGCAGGCCUAACACAUGCAAGUCGAACCAGCCCUUCGGGGUUAGUGGCGGACGGGUGAGUAACACGUGGGAACGUGCCUUUAGGUUCGGAAUAACUCAGGGAAACUUGUGCUAAUACCGAAUGUGCCCUUCGGGGGAAAGAUUUAUCGCCUUUAGAGCGGCCCGCGUCUGAUUAGCUAGUUGGUGAGGUAAUGGCUCACCAAGGCUACGAUCAGUAGCUGGUCUGAGAGGAUGACCAGCCACAUUGGGACUGAGACACGGCCCAAACUACGGCGGGAGGCAGCAGUGGGGAAUCUUGCGCAAUGGGCGAAAGCCUGACGCAGCCGUGCCGCGUGGAUGAUGAAGGUCUUAGGAUUGUAAAAUCCUUUCACCGGUGAAGAUAAUGACUGUAGCCGGAGAAGAAGCCCCGGCUAACUUCGUGCCAGCCGCCGCUGUAAAAC